AGAGGUGGCGAGCGUUGUUCGGAUUUACUGGGCGUAAAGGGUGCGUAGGCGGCACUGCAAGUCGAAUGUGAAAGCUCACGGCCCAACCGUGGAAUUGCAUCCGAAACUGCAGAGCUUGAGUACGGGAGAGGAGAGCGGAAUUCUCGGUGUAGCGGUGAAAUGCGUAGAUAUCGAGAGGAACACCGGUGGCGAAGGCGGCUCUCUGGACCGAUACUGACGCUGAGGCACGAAAGCUAGGGGAGCGAAGAGGAUUAGAUACCCUCGUAGUCCUAGCCCGUAAACGUUGUGCACUUGGUGUGGGGGGAGUUAUCCCCCUCCGUGCCGUAGCUAACGCGUUAAGUGCACCGCCUGGGAGUACGGCCGCAAGGCUA
rnacentral:rRNA from 1 species